rnacentral:rRNA from 1 species
AUGGCCAUUGCUGGAUCCAGGUGCAUGAUGCUCGACCGCUUUGUCUUCCACAGGGGUGAUGAGGAAGAGGGCAGUCCUUUCCUAGACGGAUCCGUGGCGCCUUUGAGGGCAAGUUCGCACACCUCUCUUUGCAAGAAGUUCGGCAUCCUUUUCCUCCUUGCCGAGCCCCCGGCCAUCUCCCGCUUCUACAUGCGGUGGCCUGAUGGUAUAAAGUCGGAGGAUGCCAAGGGAACCGAGCUUGUGGCCGCCCACUGUGAUCUGGUUCUCUUCAGGCUAACUUCUUUUGGAAGAUUGGGCAUGGACGGUUGCUUACCGAUCAUACAAGACUACUUUAUCUGUGUAGCGUCGUGUGAGACUAAGCCGUCCCUGCAGCUCAAACGGCUCCUUGUCUGCAACAAGCCAAUGAUCUUCCCUUUUGGAGAGGGAGAGGAGAAGGCUGUGGCUGAGCAACGUGUGUUCUUUCUGGACACUGUAGGACUCAUCCGAGGCCAUGGCGAAAGCGUUGAAGCGGAAUUUGCAGUGGCGCAGCUGGCUAUGGUCAGCGAAAUACCUGGCACGCUCAAGAUGGAAGCAGAAGUUUGUGUGUUCCGCUCACUUGUCUCUGGAAAUGAUGGUGAUGGCAAAUGGGAUGUGAGGAAGAUACCAAUCGACCAUAAGGAGGAUGAGCAUAAGGAGUUAUACUAUUGGUCAACUGAUGCUGUCAUCACAUUCAACUUUUGCAUUUGUUGGAUCAACUAUUACAGAGGUGGUAUGCUAGUUUAUGAUGUACUUGAAGAAAAGCCCCAGAUCUUAUACCUCUGA